rnacentral:rRNA from 1 species
UUGACCUCGGAUCAGGUAGGGAUACCCGUGAAUAAGCAUAUCAAUAAGCGGAG